UGGGAAUGUUAUUGAUGUUGUUGGGUAAGUGUAUCCUGUAGUUUGUUGGAUAGGUUCACAUUUGUUUGUACUUGGAGAUAAUCUUGUUCCAAACGGACAAUAUGGACGUUGUGUUGGGGGUGUCGGACGAGGUGUUUUUGGAAAUUCGCAAGACCUACCGGAUAAGGAUGGGAUUUGUCCGGGCGGACAAGUUGGUCUUAGAGUUGUAGAUGGUGUUUGAGGAUAUAUACAAAUGCCAGAUUCUGAUAAGACUUGUCCAGGUCUACAGGUUAUUUUGGACUUUGGAUAGUCACAAAUUCCCGAAGGUGUUAAAAUUUGCCCUGGUAGGCAACUUGUUUGCGGUUUAUGAGUAGAUGAAGAGGGAUACACGC